AGGUUCAGCAGGCAGCCUCGGAGGGGCACAGCUUUGUGCCGACAAAUGAUCUGGGAAGCCGAGCCUUUGUUUUUUGCAGGUGCCGAUCGGGCCGCCUCUGGAACAGGACGAGCGUCUGAGGUGCCCCGGGCAACGACAGCUGCAGGGCCUGAUGUUUGAGCGCGCACGGAGCAAAUGAAGAAGAGGAACCUGGUGACUGCAGGAUUGUUCCAGUUAACCAAUGUGGUUGGAGCUGCUUUGUCGAAGGACGGCUUCAGUCAUGGUCC